rnacentral:tRNA from 1 species
GACACUAUAGCCAAGUGAUUAAGGCGACAGAUUAGAAUCGCACCUGCGAAUUAUCUGUUUCCCUCUGGGAGCGUAGGUUCGAACCCUACUGGUGUCG